UUGGAAUUACUAAGUUAGUGCUAUCACAAAUAAACAUAUACACACACGCAUUAGAUUAUCUUGUUGCUUGGGGCUUGUUGAGCUCUCUCUUUAGAGUGCUAAGAGGAGUGGGUGUCCCCUACUUCGGUGGAAGAUAUGUUGCUAAUUAUUUUUCGAGAAUUUGAAAGCAAGUGAUGACGAAAAAAAUAAUUAUGGAAGUGUUCCUUUAUUUCUAUUUUAUGAGGAAUUUGGAACGAGCGUAAUGCUAGACUGUUUCGAGGAAGUCGUUUAAGUUGUCGAGUGAUAGGGUUAUUUUUCUUGCAUCUCUUUGGACUUUGGCCAUUAGAGCCCGGUGUGACUGUUUG
rnacentral:lncRNA from 1 species